CUACCACUGAGCUACAGCCUCAGCCCCCAUUUGUAUUCUAAAAUUAUUACUUUCCCUGUUGCUUGGUAAUGUGUAUGUAUUUUCUCCAGGUCUGUUCCACUGAUUUUUUUUGUUUAUCUUUGCAAGAAAUCACUGAUUUCAUUACACUACCUUUAUAUUAUCUUUUCUAUAUUAAUAGGGAAAAUACCAAUUUCCAUUAACUGUUAAUAGAUGGAAUUUGAAGGAGCCUGUAUUUUUGCAAAAUGAAUCUUCUCAUGUAGGUAGAUUUCCACAUAAUCUUGAUCUCUUAUGGCCUUCAGUUAUGUCUUGCAGCUGUCUUUAUAUUUCUUAACUGGUAUUUAGGAUUUUAGCAGGUAUCAAACAUGGGUCCAUCUCCCUGUGAUUUGGUUCUAUUGACAGGUAUUUGCAUGUAAUAACAGGUUAAUUUUUGUACAUUGAUCUCAGAUCUGGCCACCUUUUUGAAAUUUCUCAUCAGCUCUGGAAGUUUGGCCCCCACAUUCUAUAGGCUCAUCCUCACAGCUCCAGCCUGCCAGAGCAUCCCCGUGACCCGUGGUGGGUGGCCUGAGUUGUCUUCUUCCACUUCCUACUGAAAGAACCAGGGCUCAUUACACAGUAUUGGUGAAAAGUGGCCUGAGAGUCAUGUUCUGAUUUCAGUGGAAAUGCUUUGAGUAUCUCACCAUUAUUCUGUUGUGCCAGAGAUUACUAGUGAAUAUUGUUUGUCAGGUAUAGAAAAGUGCCUCCUAUGAGUUCUAGAAUUUUCAGAGUCUUGCUAGAAAUUAGUGUUGUUAUUUGUCAAAAAAAAA
rnacentral:lncRNA from 1 species